AUUACCCAUUAUUCUUCAUUUCCUGUUGUACCUGGUAUUCCUUCAAUUAGCCACAUAUGUCAAAACUUGACUUAAUGAUAGCUAAUCUUCAAGCACUGUCUGUUAAUUUUCUCUGUCUGUUUCUGGAUCAAGACAGAGAGCAGGGAACUACCCAUUAGCUAAUAUAUCCUUCAAGCUGAAAUGCAGAAGAACAAAAUAGAAGGGAGAAGUAGACUCAAAUGUUUUCUCAGUUCUGUGGGAAAUAGCAGUCUCUUCUAACCACCUAAUGUCGUAUAGUCAUCUGCUCCAGCCUGCAUGAAUUAGAAAGAAACAAGCAUAAUUACAAAGCAGGGAAAACAUAGUCCUGCUUAUUCAACUAAAGUCAGAAAUUUUAAACUUUCAGAGUAUUUCUUUCUUUUUUAUUUUCCCAUAUCUGUUCUAUAGGAGAAAGAGUAUUCUCAUUUUGGAGGAAAAAAAGAAGAAAUAAAAAAGGGAAAGAGCAUCUGAGUUUUUGUUAUGAAAAGGAAAGGACCUCUUCCAUAUUUUCAAGACUCCUGAUGACGUUUAUUCUCUUCAACAGUAGCUCACCAAGAAUGCACUUGCCAUACGGCAGUAGGACAGGAUCAACAUGCCCUGCCCCUACCACCAAUGCAGUUUUACAUUCAUAAGUGUCCUAGUUCCUGCCAGAACAAGGUUGGUUUUUCACAGGAGCCAGGCUGAGCCCUGAUCUCUUGGGCACAGGAUUUCUGGGCUGCCGUGCGCUGUGCUGAGUGGGCAUGGCCAAGACCCAAGUGUUAUUCCAUCCUAUCUUAGGACAUUGCCAGGGAUUGGGAGGAAGGGAUUCUUUUUCCUGGCUUCUGUGAAGAAAGGUGCUCCUUUUCCAGUGGGGAAAAUGUGGCUAUGGUCAGGUCAGGCUUUGAGAUGAACAUUUUUGUAUAUGAAUCAUUCUCUCUUUUUGUAUGCUUUUGCUAUUAAUAUAGUUGCUGUUAGUGUUUUCU
rnacentral:lncRNA from 1 species